UACGUAGGGGGCUAGCGUUGUCCGGAUUUAUUGGGCGUAAAGAGCGUGUAGGCGGCCAGGUAGGUCUGCUGUGAAAACUCGAGGCUCAACCUCGAGAUGUCGGCGGAAACCACUUGGCUAGAGUCCGGAAGAGGAGAGUGGAAUUCCCGGUGUAGCGGUGAAAUGCGCAGAUAUCGGGAAGAACACCUAUGGCGAAGGCAGCUCUCUGGGACGGUACUGACGCUGAGACGCGAAAGCGUGGGGAGCGAACAGG
rnacentral:rRNA from 1 species